GCAGCUGUGUUUGCAAGGGCUGGUUCUGCAGAUUCUAGUGCAGCAGAUUCUGGUUCUGUUGAGGUAAUUUCUGUGUGUGCUAUCUCCUGGACAGCAGGUGAUGCUUGUUCUAUAAUUUCUGCAUAUGCUGUUUUUUGGAUAACAACAAAUUCAGCAGGUGUUGUUUGAGCAGCAGUGUUUAUGGCUGCCUUUUGGACAGCAGCUGGUUCUGUUUCUCGGAACAGCAGUCUUGACAGUAGGUGCAGAAGGUAAUUGCUCAGUAGCAUUGUUGAGGGUGGCAGAUCUGGUAAUGAAAGAAAAAUAAACAAGUAAAAUCAAUUCCCCGGCAACGGCGCCAAUUUUUGAC
rnacentral:lncRNA from 1 species